rnacentral:rRNA from 1 species
GACGAACGCUGGCGGCGUGCCUAAUACAUGCAAGUAGAACGCAGUUGCGAACGGGUGAGUAACGCGUAGGUAACUGCCUCAUAGCGGGGGAUAACUAUUGGAAACGAUAGCUAAUACCGCAUACUGUGAGAUGGACCUGCGUUGUAUUAGCUAGUUGGUGAGGUAAAGGCUCACAACGGCGACGAUACAUAGCCGACCUGAGCGGGUGGUCGGCUAGACCGGGACUGGUACACGGCACAGACGCCUACGUGAGGCAGCAGUAGGGAAUCUUCGGGAAUGGACGGAAGGCUGACCGAGCAACGCCGCGUGAGUGAAGAGGGGUUUCCGAGCGUAAAGCUCUGUUGUUAGAGUAGCGGUAAGUAACCAGAAAGGGACGGCUAACUACGUGCCAGCAGCCGCGGUAAUUC